rnacentral:rRNA from 1 species
UACGGGGGGGGCAAGCGUUGUUCGGAAUUACUGGGCGUAAAGGGCUCGUAGGCGGCCAACUAAGUCGGAUGUGAAAUCCCCAGGCUUAACCUGGGAACUGCAUCCGAUACUGGAUGGCUUGAAUCCGGGAGAGGGAUGCAGAAUUCCAGGUGUAGCGGUGAAAUGCGUAGAUAUCUGGAGGAAUACCGGUGGCGAAGGCGGGUCUCUGGGCAGUAACUGACGCUGAGGAGUGAAAGCGUGGGGAGCGAACAGG